rnacentral:rRNA from 1 species
UACGUAGGUGGCAAGCGUUGUCCGGAAUUACUGGGUGUAAAGGGAGCGAAGGCGGGAAGCCAAGUCAGCUGUGAAAACUACGGGCUUAACUUGUAGACUGCAGUUGAAACUGGUUUUCUUGAGUGAAGUAGAGGUUGGCGGAAUUCCGAGUGUAGCGGUGAAAUGCGUAGAUAUUCGGAGGAACACCGGUGGCGAAGGCGGCCAACUGGGCUUUAACUGACGCUGAGGCUCGAAAGUGUGGGGAGCAAACAGG